rnacentral:lncRNA from 1 species
AUGGGCAACUCCAGCGGAAGACUUAAGAGAGACAGAAGAAAUGCCUUCUCCACGGGCAGAUGGAGUGAGCAGUGUAGAAUCCAUGACCACAGUUCAAGGCAUCUCAGAGACUCAUUUCUGAAGCCAGGGCAGAAGAAUCAUGCUGCAUCUCUACAGAAACGUAGGUUUGUCAGCGGUUUCUGUUUUUGUUUCUCUCCCAUUAUUUUUCCAGGUAUUUUUCUUCUUUCUUCUCUUGACUUCCUACCUCCUGCCCCUUCAUGUUUUUUUCUUCCCUUCCUUCCUCUUCCUCCUCUAGGAAAACAGGGGACUUUUACUUUUGUGUACUGGCUGAAAAAAAUGUAACAUCAGGAGACACUUUGAUAAUCCUGUGAUUGUGACCGUGAUAAGGAGGAGAGAAGGAAGAACAGCAAAACUAAUUUGCCCCAUACAAAAUCACUCACCUUUUGCAGACAAACUGCCCAUUUUCUCUAUUCCAUUCAAGCUACAUUGGGUGGGAGAAUUUCGAUCAUAAACUCCUGAAGAUGGCGUUCCCGUCAUGGCUCAGUGGUUAACAAACCCAACUAGUAUCCAUGAGGACACAGGUUCGAUCCUUGGCCUCGCUCAGUGGGUUAAGGAUCCAGCAUUGCUGUGAGCUGUGGUGUAAGUCGAAGACGCAGCUCAGAUCCUGUGUCGCUGUGGCUGGGACGUAAGCUGGCAGCUACAGCUGCAAUUCAACCCCUAGCCUGGAACUUCCAUUUGCCCGCAGGUGCAGCCCUAAAAAGACAACAACGACACACACACAAAAAUCACUGAAGAAGGUAAAACUGAAUUAUUUGUGUUAGGGUCUUUUUUAAAGGAAAGAUCAGUUUUUCUCUGGUUUUCAUAGAUGUCACGUUCAAGUUCAUGUGUUUUUCAUGCUGGGGAGGUGGUGGGAGUGGAUUGUAUUUCAUGCAAGCAAUUCUUCUAAGGAGAUGUAUCAGUGAUAGUCAAUGCAGACUUCAAAACCUACUUCAUCUGAGACAGUGAACAUCUAGGGAAACAUGAAUGUACCUUUUUUCUAUACAACUAAAACCCAUCAGAGUAGCCCAGGUAGCCAAUAAUUCAAGUGCCAUUAUCUCAUUAUCCAUAGGAUCAAUUUUGGUCCCUGUGGUGCACCUGUAGACACUUGCUGCUGCCAACUGGGAAAGAAAAAAGCACAACCUAAAAGUUAUGAAUUACGGUUUGUUCAGCAGAUUUUCUGGGGACUUUAAGCCCAGGAGGCAGCCUCUCAGCUCCGAGGAUCGGUUCUGAAAAGGCCAAGGAGGAGCCAGGAUAUAGAAGAGUUUUUGCAGCAAAGACCAGAUAACAGCAAAAGAUUACUGUU